ensembl:lncRNA
AUGAUGGUCCCUUCCUCUCCAGCAGCCUACCGGCCACACCGCCCUACUCAGAGCCCCGGUACAGGGUUAGGGGGUGGGCCGGGGCUCUGUCACAACCAGGGGGGGAUUGCCACCUCCCCUCUCGUGAGCGGGGGAGGGGUAGGGGGAGGAGGAGGGAUGGCAGGUGGGGGAGGGCCGACUGGCGGCGGGCUGCUGGGGAACUUAUUCGGCAGCCGCAGAGGCAAGUGUCCUGGUCCCCUGACGAUGACGUCACCGACUCCUCAGGGUCCACCGAGUCCCCUGAUGAUAUCAUCCCCGCCCCACUACCCCGCCCCCGCGCCUCCCAUCGCCCACCCAUCCUCCCCUUCCCCGUGCCCCUCCCCAUCGCCCAACCCCGUCCAGUUGGACUCGGGUGGGGGGCCGUCCAAGCUCCAGGCCUUGCACGCUCAGUAUUGCCACAGCAGCAGUGGAGGAGGCGGAGCCUGUGUUACUGGGCACCAGCAGCUGCAGCAGACGCCACCCCCACCCUACCACCACCAUCACCGCUACCACAUGCAGAGCGUGCCGCAGCACCACGCCCUCGGGCACAGAUUCUCGGCCCCCCGGCGGCCGGGCCCGUCCAGCUGCGUUUCCUCUCUUGCCCAGCAGCAUCAGAGGCUGCAACAUGGCGUCGGCCAGCACCCGCGCUACAGCCUGGGCUUCAUCACGCCGCCGCCGCUCUCCCCGCACUCCCCCGUCACGCCCACUACUCCGCACGGACUCUACCACUCGCACCCCUCGGUGGGGAGGCCGGGGGGAGGCGGCAAGCUCCCGCUGACCAUUUCGCACUCGCAGCCCCACCCCCACGCGCACACGCACUCUCACAACCACGCCGUGCACGCACACUCCCCGCUCAGCCCCUCCCCUUCUGCCGCCCCCUCCACGCACUUCAUCUUCUCCACGCCGCCUCCCCAGACGCCAUCGGCGCGCCUCCUCCCCCAGACGCCGACGCAGCCCUACGCGCCGCAGUACACAGCAAUCUCCUCCAUCCCGCCUCCGCCUCCGCACUCCCCGCUGCCUCCCCCGUCGAACGCCGCGCUCUCCCUGCACCCCGGGGCGGGGGCGGGGCAAGGGGCGUGUCCCAAGGCAAAGCCGGUCAGCCGGAUCAGCACGGUCGUGUGA